CCCUCAGCUGCAUCCUCCCACAGGCCCCCACUCAGAUUGCAGGGCUGGUCCUCAGCCGCUGGCUGGCAGCUGACAAAACCACAGGCCAAUCCCCGCUGGCAGGAUGGGGACAGGCUGACAAUUCCAGGUCCUAACUGCACGGUCUUGCAUUUCCUUCUCUGAAGACUCAGGUGUGGAAUGAGCGGGGCUGUGGGUGCAGCGUGGGCGAGACUCCUCUCAGCCUCCCUGGGCCUGAUCAAGGUCACCGACCCCCAGCUGUAGUCCCCAAGACUGGCUCCUGAUGGCUUUUGUGCCCCGCUCAGCAAAAGCCCAGCUGGGAUCCUCUUGGUGGCCCAGACAGAGGCAGCCUUCCGUGACUUCUGCUGUCAUCCCAGUGGCCUCUGUCUCCAGAGCAGGUGGAGCAAGGAGGCUGUCUACUUGCUCCCUGGACCCAGCGGACAUAUUCCCAGAGACAGCUGGAAAUAUCAUUGUGAUGUCGGACACUGGAGAUGGGACAGGAGCCACACAGACCCAGCUUUGCCCUCCGGAACUCACAGCAUCCCAGCGGCCGGCAGGGAGAGAGAGGGCCAGCAAACAACUCCGCGAGGGGGUCCCGCGAUAACAUGCGAGAAGUGGGUGGAGAACGCCGGGCAAGCCUGGGUAGCCGAGGAGGGACAGACAAGCAGGUGCAUGGGCCGAGACAUGGAGGGUACCUGGGGACACCAUCCUGGGGCAGGAAACGGCAGGUGCAAAGGCCCCGGGGCCGGCUGAGCUGCUGGCUCCCUCGCUCAGGGAGCAUCUGAGCAGCACCUCCCAGAAGCCAGGGCUGUGCUCGUGUGCAUGGGCCAAGCUUCAGAGAGAACUCGGGGGGCUCCCAGGUCUGAGGGGGGUGGGGGCCAGGGCUGGGCAGUGCAGAGGGUGAGGGGAUGUCCUUCCUUACAGAGAUAGAAUUCGAGGGGAAAGAAAAAGGCCCCCUGGCAUCCCUGCCCAGUGCAUGGGAUUGUGGGGGCUGGGAGGCAUCCCGUGGCUGGGCUGCAGGAGUUCCCAGCCAGACCUGGUCCCUUGGGGAAUGGGGGUCUGGGAGGCCUUUGCUGUGAGCCCACCUCGACAACCCACCCGACCAGUGAGCAGAAGCCUGAGCCGGGGUUCAGGGAUCCAUCCGUGGAGUCGCCCCUGAGGGAGGGCUUCCCACGUGGCACCCCACUGAGCCCCUCUCCCAAGCCCUCGCCCCUCCCUCCCAGGUUCUCGAAACCUCCUGCUGUCCCCCCGAGUUAGUGUCCAGGACUGCUUUAACAAAUGGCCACAGACUUGGCUGGAAACAAAAUAUAUUCAUUAUCUUACAGUUUGGGAGGCCAGAAGUCGAGAUCAAGGUGCCCACAGGGCUGGUUCCUCCCGAGGCCAGGAAGGGUCUCCUCUGUCCGCUCUGUCCCCAGCAGUGUCUGGCGGCUGCCCGCAAGACUUGGGUGGCUUAGGGAGACCUCACCCCAACUCUGCCUCUUUCUUCACACGGCCUUCUCUCUGAGCCUGUGUGCCCUCUCAACUCAAGAUCCUUAACUUAAUUACUUCUACAAAGAGCCCUUCUCCAGGCUGGGUGUGGUGGCUCAUGCUUGUAAUCUCAGCACUUUGGGAGGCUGAGGCAGGUGGAUCACUUGAGGUCAGGAGUUCAAGACCAGCCUGGCCAACACGGUGAAACCCCGGCACUACUAAAAAUACAAAAAUUAGCUGGGAAUGGUGCCGCAUGCCUGUAGUCCCAGCUACUUGGGAGGCUGAGGCGGGAGAAUUGUUUGAACCCAGGAGGCGGAGGUUGCAGUGAGCUGAGAUUGAGCCACUGCACCCCAGCCUGGGUGACAAGAGUGAGACUCCAUCUCAAAACAAAACAAAAAAACAAAAACAAAGAGCCCUUCUCCAAACAACGUCCCCUUCAUGGGUUCUGCGGGUUAGAACUUGGACACAUCAUUUUGGGGGUCCUCUAUUCAACCCACAACACCCCAAAAUACCAGGAAUCUGGGAAGUUGGGUCUUCUUUCACUGCUGAGCCAGGUCCCCUGCACUUCAUCCAGGUGGGCUCGGGAGCCAUGGCGGCCUCCCUUGGCAUGUGUAAGUUGGGGGACAGCGAGGAGGGCUGGGAAGUAUAAGUUGGGGGGCUGAGGCCUGAUGGUGCAGGCAGGCCUCUCAAGGAGAGGCCAGCACCGUGCCUGCCCACUAGGAACACGGCCUGUGGUCCCCGCCCCUGUGUGAAAAGAAU